GAUGAACGCUGGCGGCGUGCUUAACACAUGCAAGUCGAACGAUGAAGCCCAGCUUGCUGGGUGGAUUAGUGGCGAACGGGUGAGUAACACGUGAGUAACCUGCCCUUAACUCUGGGAUAAGCCUGGGAAACUGGGUCUAAUACCGGAUAGGUGCGCCUACCGCAUGGUGGGUGUUGGAAAGAUUUAUCGGUUUUGGAUGGACUCGCGGCCUAUCAGCUUGUUGGUGAGGUAAUGGCUCACCAAGGCGGCGACGGGUAGCCGGCCUGAGAGGGUGACCGGCCACACUGGGACUGAGACACGGCCCAGACUCCUACGGGAGGCAGCAGUGGGGAAUAUUGCACAAUGGGCGAAAGCCUGAUGCAGCGACGCCGCGUGAGGGAUGACGGCCUUCGGGUUGUAAACCUCUUUCAGUAGGGAAGAAGCGAAAGUGACGGUACCUGCAGAAGAAGCACCGGCUAACUACGUG
rnacentral:rRNA from 1 species